UACGUAGGGUGCGAGCGUUGUCCGGAAUUACUGGGCGUAAAGAGCUCGUAGGUGGUUUGUCGCGUCGUCUGUGAAAUUCCGGGGCUUAACUCCGGGCGUGCAGGCGAUACGGGCAUAACUUGAGUACUGUAGGGGAGACUGGAAUUCCUGGUGUAGCGGUGAAAUGCGCAGAUAUCAGGAGGAACACCGGUGGCGAAGGCGGGUCUCUGGGCAGUAACUGACGCUGAGGAGCGAAAGCAUGGGGAGCGAACAGGAUUAGAUACCCUGGUAGUCAAGGGCG
rnacentral:rRNA from 1 species